GGAGCAGAACCAGGCGAACUUUGUACAUAAAAAUUGAUAAAUUGUGGCAUAAUCAAAUGUAAUAGACUUCUCUACUAGCAGCAAUGCACUGACUGAGGACAAUGCAGAGGAACUUAUGAGAAAGAACAUUAUUCACAUCCAGAAAAAGAACUGUGGGAGUAGAAACACAGAAGAAAAAAAUCACAAGAUUGAUCGCAUGGUUCAAUGUGAUGAUGAUUGGAAUGUUGACUUUAAAUGAUCACUGUUGCAAAUACUAAUAAUAUGGGAAUAGGUUUUAAAUAAUAAUACCUGUAUAACACAGAAUAAUUGCUUAUUAUCUCUAGGAAUAGGGAGGGAGAAAUGAAGGGAAAGAACAUGAAUCAUGUAACCAUGGAAAAAUAUUCUGAAUAAAUAAAUAAAUAUAUAUUUUUAAAAUGACCUAAAAUCCAAAGAGAAUAUGUGUGUGCAUACAAGCAUGUUUUUAGGUAUGUACAUACGUGUAUAUGAUAUAGAGGGUAAAAUGAUAUAUCUGGAAUUUAUGAAGACUUUAGUUCAAGUGCCUUCUCUUACCCUUACUAUCUGUGUAACCCUGGCAGUCAUUUAAGUCAUAUAAGUCUCUAUUAGGUCGUAAAAUCAGCACCUUCCUGAUAGGGAUGUUAUUAGGCUUAAAUGAUAAUAUAUAAAAUAAUAAAAAAAGCAUGUCUAUAUAAAUUUAAGGCAGUAUAUUGAUUUCAGUUACUUCUAUUUACACCAUUACCCAAGGUAGAUAAAUAAACCAAAACCAAAUAAUGACCUUUGGUUGUAUAUACAUUAGGUAAUUAUAACAUAAAACAAGAUUCAGACUCAUUCAUCCUUAUGGAAAAUUCACAUAUUUUUUCCCUCCCUCCCCCUACUUUCAACAUGAUCUAAGUACAAAGCUAACCAAAAAUAGGUAAAAAUUUAUUUUCUAAAGAAACCCAUCUAACUAAUAAGAUAGAUAUGGCUACAAUCACACCUUUCCUUCCAUAUUUUUACAUUUCUCUAUAUGAUUUACUGUUCAACAUCUUAAUAUAUGCAUAUUAAUUUCAAUAAAUAAAUUGUUCUUUUGUCUUUGAAAAUCAGAUCCUUAACCUCUAGUUACAGUUUGCUCCAUAGUACUAGAUCUAGUAAGUUCCCUCUGUAUGGUGUUUGAAACUGUAUAUACCUCUGAAUGUCACAAAGGCCAUAAUUGAUUGUAUUCUCUUUAUUAUGAAGUUGUAGCAGAAGCAUAAAGGGCUGGAAUGAUGUUAAGAUUUUCUUAGCAAUGCUAAAUGUGUCAGCCGAGCCAUCUUUCCUCUUCUUGUUCUGUGCCUUGCCUAAGGACAAACUCAACAAAUGCAGGUAUUGGUGCUUAACAAUCUGAUUUUUAUUAACUGCCUUAACAACUUGAAUUUUAUUCAGAAAGUCUUCAUCAUUCAGAGACUUAGGAAAUAUUCUCCAGGUUCUUUACUUGGAGAUUUCCAAAGGUAGAGACAAGAUAGCUGAGAAAACCAGAGCAGCUCUGUGCCACCACGAGAAUCCUUUCUUACCAAGAUUAAAAAAUCCCCCCCCCCCAAAUAAUACAGGAGUGAAAGAACUAAGAAGGAGACAGAGUUAUUUUCAAGGAAAAUUUUCAAGGAAAGAAAAACCUUAAAAGAUAGGCAAAGAACAUUUGGAGUACUGGGGUGAGAAAUGAGCAGAGCCAGCAAGAAGUUGUAGCAAGAAGGGAAGAGCAAGACAAGAGCAAGCCACCCACUCCCACACCACAUAUUCUGUCUGAGUUAUGGGAACCUAUGCCCAAGCCAACAUGCAUAUCCUAAGAUGCUGUCUGGGCAAAUAGUGGUGGAAGCUAAAUCAUACCCUUGAAAUUUCAAACCUGUGUAGAAGUCCAGAGUCCCAGUCCAGGGAAUCUUAGUCUGAGCUUGGUAUAAUGACUUAGUUCACACUUUAGGGAGAGUGAUAGUAUUAAGUACUGAUCUUUUUGCUUAAAGCUCAGUGCAGGAGCUGGAAGACAGGGCAAUCAAGGGUGUGCCUAAUUGGAUCAAGUAUACAUAGUGGGAACAAAAACUUGAACCUAAGCCUGGGGCUAGAAUUUGAUCAGCCCCUGACCUGAUCAAUAUCACAGUGAGAUCAAAAGCUUACACCUAAGCCUUAGGCAUGUCUUUAAGCUAUUGGUAUAAAUUGAAUCAUGAGGGUGAUUGGGCUUUCAUAACUCUCAGCCUUCAGACCAUCACAUCAUCCUCCUAAGACUAUCUAUAAUUAGAUAAGAAUAAGGAAAAUUAGCAAACAACCAAAAAUGACCUAACCAAUUAAGAGAGGCAGAGGAAAAUUGGGAAAAACAAAUGAAAGUGAUGCAAGGAGAAAUGAAAGUAAUGCAAGAAGAAACAUACCCAUUGAAAAAAAGAGAACUAAAAACUGACAGAGGCAAGUCAGGCCUUUAAAAUAAGACUUGAUCAUCUAGAAACAAAUGAUUUCAUUUAUACACUACAAUUAGGAUCACACAGGACCUAGAGGCUUCUCCAUUAAAGGACAGAAAGAUAUGGAAUAAGAUAUUCAGGAAGACAAAAGAUUUUGGUUUACAAAAAAGAGUCACCAAUCCAGCAAAAAUGAGUAUAUUUUUUCAAAGGGGAAUAUAGACAUUCAAAAACUAGAAGAUCUGCAAGUAUUCCUGAGGAAUAAGCUAGACCUAAACAAAAUUUUUGAAGUCCAAACAUGAGACACAAGAGAAGCCCAAAAAGGUAAAUAAGAAAGAGAAAAUCUAAGGGACUCAUCAGGAUCAAAAUAUUCAUAUGUUUACAUGGAAAGAGAAUACCUGUAAUUCUCAAAAAAUUACUUAGUAGUAAAGAAGAUAAAAGGAAUUUACCAAGAAAGAGGGUGGGAAUGUAAACUGAUUAUGAUGA